rnacentral:rRNA from 1 species
CCUACGGGAGGCUGCAGUGGGGAAUAUUGGACAAUGGGGGGAACCCUGAUCCAGCCAUGCCGCGUGUGUGAAGAAGGCCCUCGGGUUGUAAAGCACUUUCAGUGAGGAAGAACGCCUGGUGGUUAAUACCCAUCAGGAAAGACAUCACUCACAGAAGAAGCACCGGCUAACUCCGUGCCAGCAGCCGCGGUAAUACGGAGGGUGCGAGUGUUAAUCGGAAUUACUGGGCGUAAAGCGCGCGUAGGUGGCUUGAUAAGCCGGUUGUGAAAGCCCCGGGCUCAACCUGGGAACGGCAUCCGGAACUGUCAAGCUAGAGUGCAGGAGAGGAAGGUAGAAUUCCCGGUGUAGCGGUGAAAUGCGUAGAGAUCGGGAGGAAUACCAGUGGCGAAGGCGGCCUUCUGGACUGACACUGACACUGAGGUGCGAAAGCGUGGGUAGCAAACAGGAUUAGAUACCCCUGUAGUC